GACGUAGGAGACGAGCGUUGUCCGGAGUUACUGGGCGUAAAGCGCGCGCAGGCGGCCCGGCGCGCCGCGUCGGAAAGAUCCCGGCUCAACCGGGGAGGCAGACGCGGGACGGCCGGGCUGGAGGCUGGUAGAGGCCGGUGGAAUUCCCGGUGUAGUGGUGAAAUGCGUAGAGCUCGGGAGGAACACCCGCGGCGAAGGCGGCCGGCUGGGCCAGUCCUGACGCUGAGGCGCGAAGGCCGGGGGAGCGAACGGG
rnacentral:rRNA from 1 species